AUAAGUAAAUUUUUAGGAUUAUUUACCACGAACCCUUUUCGAACUCGAAAGGUAUGUUAAUAAUUUUUUCGUAGAUACCUUACAAGGGACAUACGUUUUUUAUGAUG
rnacentral:rRNA from 1 species